AGAGUUUGAUCAUGGCUCAGGAUGAACGCUAGCUACAGGCUUAACACAUGCAAGUCGAGGGGAAACGAUAUUGGAAGCUUGCUUCCGAUAGGCGUCGACCGGCGCACGGGUGAGUAACGCGUAUCCAACCUGCCCACCACUUGGGGAUAACCUUGCGAAAGUAAGACUAAUACCCAAUGACGUCUCUAGAAGACAUCUGAAAGAGAUUAAAGAUUUAUCGGUGAUGGAUGGGGAUGCGUCUGAUUAGCUUGGUUGGCGGGGUAACGGCCACCAAGGCUACGAUCAGUAGGGGUUCUGAGAGGAACGGUCCCCCANAUUGGAACUGAGACACGGUCCAAACUCCUACGGGAGGCA
rnacentral:rRNA from 1 species